rnacentral:tRNA from 1 species
AAGGUUUUAAGUUAAUUAAACUAAUAGCCUUCAAAGCUGUAAAUAUAGGGUUAUCCUUUAAGCCUUA